GUGGUAACGCUCCGGAUCACGCUUAGAGCGGCUGUCUCCUUCAUUGGGAGGCAAGUAACGUAGCGGUGGUUGCUACAAGCUUUAAUUUGCUAUUUUUGCUACCUCCACCUUGAAUUUCAGAAUGAUAACAUAUCCAAUAUCAUCCAUUCAAUUACAAGUUUAUGCACAUCUUAAUGUUGUUAUUACAUAUGCCUUAUUCUUUACUUUAUAACUUGGUAAUGGCUCUUGUUGGCAUAAUUAUGAUGAGGUUUAUGUUGUCAAAUGAGGAAAGACUUAUCUGGUAUAAGUGGUGUAUACUCUCUUUGUGCGAUCUGUCUUGGCAUUGCAUUUCAUUGCAUCACAAUGCAUGGCAUAUGGAGUAAAGUCGCCGCUUGAUAGUCGCGAUCGUACCGGUACAACAUCGUUUAUUGGGCAUAACGAUGCAGCUUCAUACUUUGUUGAGUAUGAAGGCAGGAGACAUGGCAUUUGCAUUGCAUUUGCAUUUAGGGUGCUAUCGAUUUUCUAUGGUAUUUAUUUGGCAAUGGUGGUGAGAAGUGAAUUUUCUUCAAGGUUUGGUGAUGAAUUGGUUUUAUAUAUGUAUGAGGGUGUUGGAGUUAUUAUUAUUAUUUAUUAUUCAUUGAGGAGAUACGCUUGCUGAUAAUAGUUAAACCAUGGUCUAAUGAACUUGUAGUUUAAAUAGCUUGUUAAAGCUAGUUACUUGCUGAGAUUUUAUAUCUCACCCCCUUUUUUUUUAUCCUCUCAGGUACUUGAUGGAUGGAUGCUUUGCUUGGGGGUUGGGAAGUAGCAGCACGUCACACACUUCUCUUUAAUCAAAAUCCUCUAGUGUGAUGUUGUAAUAUUUAAUCCCUUCUCUAUGAGAGUCUGUUUGUUACUUAAUGAUGGUUAAGCUUUGUUAAACCUUGCCUUAAUCGUUUUCAUAUCAUGUUAGGAUCUUUUAUUUAUGCUAGUGUGCUUUAUCUAUUUUCAUAUCUUAUUGUUUCUUGCUUCCGCGGUGUUCCUAUUUUAGGGAAGAUGCUGUUAAAAUCUUUCCCUGUUGUCUGAUGUUUGUUUUUCUUGGGCUGUUACAGUAAUGUAACACACAAAAAAUAUCAAAGGCCCAGCCAGCCCAACACUUUUCCCUGGCCCGUUGCCCCCCCUCCCAUCUUAUCCAGACCGGUCCUCUCUCCCUUCUCACAUUUCUUCCUCCUUCCCUGCUCUCCCAUGGCUUCCCUUCCCUAAAUCCCCUCUCUACAGCAGCAAACCCUUGGGGGGAACUAGCAAAACGGAUCGAGGACAACAAGAGGAGCAAGAAAGGUGCAUCUUCCAUGUAGAUCGGUCCUUUCCCCAUAUCUUCCCACUGCCCUAGGGUUUGGGGAACGACCAAGGUGGUAACGCUCCGGAUCACGCUUAGAGCGGCUGUCUCCUUCAUUGGGAGGCAAGUAACGUAGCAGUGGUUGCUACAAGCUUUAAUUUGCUAUUUUUGCUACCUCCACCUUGAAUUUCAGAAUGAUAACUUAUCCAAUAUCAUCCAUUCAAUUACAAGUUUAUGCACAUCUUACUGUUGUUAUUACAUAUGCCUUGUUCUUUACUUUAUAACUUGGUAAUGGCUCUUGUUGGCAUAAUUAUGAUGAGGUUUAUGUUGUCAAAUGAGGAAAGACUUAUCUGGUAUAAGCGGUGUAUACUCUCUUUGUGCGAUCUGUCUUGGCAUUGCAUUUCAUUGCAUCACAAUGCAUGGCAUAUGGAGUUAAGUCGCUGCUUGAUAGCUGCGAUCGUACCGGUACAACAUUGUUUAUUGGGCAUAACGAUGCAGCUUCAUACUUUGUUGAGUAUGAAGGCAGGAGACAUGGCAUUUGCAUUGCAUUUGCAUUUAGGGUGCUAUCGAUUUUCUAUGGUAUUUAUUUGGCAGU
rnacentral:lncRNA from 1 species